rnacentral:rRNA from 1 species
GAUGAACGCUGGCGGCGUGCCUAAUACAUGCAAGUCGAGCGAACAGACGAGGAGCUUGCUCCUCUGACGUUAGCGGCGGACGGGUGAGUAACACGUGGAUAACCUACCUAUAAGACUGGGAUAACUUCGGGAAACCGGAGCUAAUACCGGAUAAUAUAUUGAACCGCAUGGUUCAAUAGUGAAAGACGGUUUUGCUGUGACUUAUAGAUGGAUCCGCGCCGCAUUAGCUAGUUGGUAAGGUAACAGCUUACCAAGGCAACGAUGCGUAGCCGACCUGAGAGGGUGAUCGGCCACACUGGAACUGAGACACGGUCCAGACUCCUACGGGAGGCAGCAGUAGGGAAUCUUCCGCAAUGGGCGAAAGCCUGACGGAGCAACGCCGCGUGAGUGAUGAAGGUCUUCGGAUCGUAAAACUCUGUUAUUAGGGAAGAACAAAUGUGUAAGUAACUAUGCACGUCUUGACGGUACCUAAUCAGAAAGCCACGGCUAACUACGUG